UGCUCUGGUCUGAGAGGCCACGCUAUCCUGAGGAAUGUUGACAGCUGAAGGAUUCAAGGUUUCCUGAGAUCUUUGGACCAAAAAAAAAGCUCCUGGAUAUCAGGGCUGAGGAAGACAAGCUACCAUCUUAAUACCUGCUGGCAGAGUUCCCUAGAGACAGGCCUCUGAGGAAGGGGGGGCCCAGGCAGAGGAGCUGUGGAAGUUAAAGGGGACCCAGAAGGAGGAGCAUCUUCCCCAACCCCCAUAAACAGCAGAAGUUCAGCUUGUAUGGUCAAUCAACCUUGACCCUCCCAGCAGGAGUCAUCUUGCUACAAGCUGCCCUCAUCAGGAAGCCUGCCCAGAUGGCUGCAAAAGUCAGGAGAUACAAGCUUCAGCCAGAAGCAGAAUGGGAGCUGGGCAUGAUGGCUCACACCUUUAAUCUCAGCACUUUGGGAGGCCAAGGCAGAAGGAUUGCUUGAGGUCAGGAGUUUGAGACCAGCCUGGCAAACAUGGUGACCCUGUCACUACAAAAAAUACAAAAAUUAGCUAGGUGUGGUGGCAGGUGUCUGUAAUCCCAGCUACUCAGGGGGCUGAGGUAGGAGAAUUGCUUGAACCCAGGAGGUAAAGGGUUGCAGUGAGGUGAGACUGCAUCACUGCACUCCAGCCUGGGUGACAGAGCAAGACUCUAAAACAAAAAAACAAAAACAAAACAGAAUGGGGAUAGAUAGAAGGCCCAGCAGGCCUGGUGGGAGUUGCAUUCUCCCACACCAUGGGCAUUGUGGAACUUCCCUUAUUCCUCAUGCUGGGGCUUUCUUUCACAUUCCCUUCCUAUGGGAUUCCCCUCCCAUGCCAACCUCAGCAGCACUAGGGCCCUGGAGUCACACAGGCCAUGCUAGGAAAAGGGGUACAGCAAAGGUGAAGAGAUUAAUCAAUACGUGCUUUUCCAAAGAGCAAGCAAGUACAGUAUCAACAUGAGCUCCUUUCUGGCAAUCUCUCCUAGCUGGGAAACCAGGGGACUUGGUCACACGUGGUGAAGGUAGGAGUGAAGGGAUCAUAGAGAAGCCUGGGGAAGGUCCUGGGACACUAGACUCUGACAGCCCCAGCCUCUGGUACACAGGGUGGAGUGGUCAGUGAC
rnacentral:lncRNA from 10 species